AACCAGCACAGACUGGAGUGUCCCAGACAUCUCUGACCCAGUAUCUCUUUGAGCAGCUCACUCUCAAGCACGACUAUGAGG
rnacentral:pre_miRNA from 1 species